rnacentral:rRNA from 1 species
ACACCAAAAUGCACAGGUUGUGAACUCGAAGAGUAGGGCGGGACACGUGGUAUCCUGUCUGAAUAUGGGGGGACCAUCCUCCAAGGCUAAAUACUCCUGACUGACCGAUAGUGAACCAGUACCGUGAGGGAAAGGCGAAAAGAACCCCGGCGAGGGGAGUGAAAAAGAACCUGAAACCGUGUACGUACAAGCAGUGGGAGCACCUUCGGGUGUGACUGCGUACCUUUUGUAUAAUGGGUCAGCGACUUAUAUUCUGUAGCAAGGUUAACCGUAUAGGGGAGCCGCAGGGAAACCGAGUCUUAACUGGGCGUUAAGUUGCAGGGUAUAGACCCGAAACCCGGUGAUCUAGCCAUGGGCAGGUUGAAGGUUGGGUAACACUAACUGGAGGACCGAACCGACUAAUGUUGAAAAAUUAGCGGAUGACUUGUGGCUGGGGGUGAAAGGCCAAUCAAACCGGGAGAUAGCUGGUUCUCCCCGAAAGCUAUUUAGGUAGCGCCUCGUGAACUCAUCUUCGGGGGUAGAGCACUGUUUCGGCUAGGGGGUCAUCCCGACUUACCAACCCGAUGCAAACUACGAAUACCGAAGAAUGUUAUCACGGGAGACACACGGCGGGUGCUAACGUCCGUCGUGAAGAGGGAAACAACCCAGACCGCCAGCUAAGGUCCCAAAGUCAUGGUUAAGUGGGAAACGAUGUGGGAAGGCACAGACAGCCAGGAUGUUGGCUUAGAAGCAGCCAUCAUUUAAAGAAAGCGUAAUAGCUCACUGGUCGAGUCGGCCUGCGCGGAAGAUGUAACGGGGCUAAACCAUGCACCGAAGCUGCGGCAGCGACACUAUGUGUUGUUGGGUAGGGGAGCGUUCUGUAAGCCUGCGAAGGUGUGCUGUGAGGCAUGCUGGAGGUAUCAGAAGUGCGAAUGCUGACAUAAGUAACGAUAAAGCGGGUGAAAAGCCCGCUCGCCGGAAGACCAAGGGUUCCUGUCCAACGUUAAUCGGGGCAGGGUGAGUCGACCCCUAAGGCGAGGCCGAAAGGCGUAGUCGAUGGGAAACAGGUUAAUAUUCCUGUACUUGGUGUUACUGCGAAGGGGGGACGGAGAAGGCUAUGUUAGCCGGGCGACGGUUGUCCCGGUUUAAGCAUGUAGGCUGGUUAUCCAGGCAAAUCCGGAUAAUCAAGGCUGAGGUGUGAUGACGAGGCACUACGGUGCUGAAGUAACAAAUGCCCUGCUUCCAGGAAAAGCCUCUAAGCAUCAGGUAACAUCAAAUCGUACCCCAAACCGACACAGGUGGUCAGGUAGAGAAUACCAAGGCGCUUGAGAGAACUCGGGUGAAGGAACUAGGCAAAAUGGUGCCGUAACUUCGGGAGAAGGCACGCUGGUGUGUAGGUGAAGUCCCUGCGGAUGGAGCUGAGACCAGUCGAAGAUACCAGCUGGCUGCAACUGUUUAUUAAAAACACAGCACUGUGCAAACACGAAAGUGGACGUAUACGGUGUGACGCCUGCCCGGUGCCGGAAGGUUAAUUGAUGGGGUUAUCCGUAAGGAGAAGCUCUUGAUCGAAGCCCCGGUAAACGGCGGCCGUAACUAUAACGGUCCUAAGGUAGCGAAAUUCCUUGUCGGGUAAGUUCCGACCUGCACGAAUGGCGUAAUGAUGGCCAGGCUGUCUCCACCCGAGACUCAGUGAAAUUGAACUCGCUGUGAAGAUGCAGUGUACCCGCGGCAAGACGGAAAGACCCCGUGAACCUUUACUAUAGCUUGACACUGAACAUUGAGCCUUGAUGUGUAGGAUAGGUGGGAGGCUUUGAAGCGUGGACGCCAGUCUGCGUGGAGCCAACCUUGAAAUACCACCCUUUAAUGUUU